UCAAUACUUUCUCCGUUUCGAAUUACUUGUCGCAGGUAUGAAUGUAUCUAGAUGUAUUUUAGUUCUAGAUACAUUCAUUUCUGCGACGAGUAAUUUGGAACGGAGGGAGUACUUA
rfam:Triticum aestivum genome assembly, contig: Triticum_aestivum_CS42_TGACv1_scaffold_019808_1AS